UACAGCCAUAUCACACUGAAACACCAGUUCUCAUUUGACCACCAAAUCUAAGCAACAUUGUCCAUAGUCAGUACUUAAGUGGGUGACCACUUGGGAAUACUAGAUGCUGUA